GUCUCUUCGCUGGCCCACUGUCCGCGCCGGCCCUGCCCCAGCCGAGAGCACCUGCGCGGCAGGCCCGCAGCUGGCAGCCUCGCGCCCCUCACACGCCGCGAGACUCGGAAAUCUUUCUAGGAGCAGUGAGGAAGACAGAAGAACCGCUCGGGCUGGUAAAGCCAUCUGCCAGGCACUACUGCCACCAAUGCCCAAGAGAAGGCAAAAGGAGAUGCUAAAGGUGACAAAGCAAAGGUGAAGGAGAGCCACAGAGGAGAUCGGCACGGUUGUCUGCUAAACCUGCCCCUCCAAAACCAGAGCCCAGGGCAAAAAAGGCCCCUGCAAAGAAGGGAGAGAAGCUGGCCAAAGGGAGAAAGGGGAAAGCAGAAGGCAACAAAGAUGGGAACAACCCUGCAAAAAACCGAGAUGCCUCCACAGUCCAGUCACAGAAAGCAGAAGGCACCGGGGAUGCCAAGUGAAGUGUACUUUUUUGAUAGCUCUGUACUUCUAGUGACUCUACUGUUUGAAAUACUAUCUUUUUUAAAUCAAAUUUUGUAAAAACGUAGAUUUUUUUUUAAGUUAUGUUGUUAGCACACAAGACGCUUUGUUGUUAUCUUUUGUGGAAAGGGCAAAAUAACCACUAGUAGAAUGUUUCAGAAGCUGGAUUGAAAUGGGGGAAAACAGAAUUUUCUAUCCUCAUAUUUGAAGAUUAUUCUUGGUUCCCAGGAGAGAUUCUCUGACAUUCACACAUGACAGCCACUAUGGCUCAGAAGCCUUACCGUGUGGGGAAGCAAAACUUCAUGUCUUCUCCUUUCCUGAUGCCAUCAACACAUCCUUGACUUCCUGAAACCAAGAGUCAUGAUGCGGCCUUGGCACCCUAGAAUCAGCUGUGUCAGGUAACAAUACUCAGGAUUUCUGGUGAUGACAUCAAGAUGGUGUUGCUCAAAAGAGCCAGGAUUCCUGUUUGUAGUUUGUGGAUCAUCUCAUUAAUAAUCCUGGAGUUUUUAGUUCCUUUCCUCCAUGUCAGAGGUGACCUGUGAAAAGCUCUUAUAUGCCUCAUGUGAAAUAUUCACCCUUUCUGAAAACUUUUCCUGUUCAUUGCAGCAGCAGACUUUGUUGACUUUUUGGGGAGGGGAGUUUGAAAGUUGUAAGAUGUUACGGAUUGUCACCCAUGUCCUGCUGGAAGUAACUAUUUUUGAAAAGUAUCUUAUAAAGCUGGAUACAAGUUGGCUUCAUGGGAGGGGAGGGAUCAUUUCCUACUCCAAGUCAUAAAGAUAUCCUUUACUGCCUUGUAAAAGUUUUAUAGUUUUGCUUUUCACAUUUGUCUUUAGUCUUCCCUGAACUGAUUUUUGCAAAAAUAUGAGAUAGUAAUUCAAAAUAAUAUUUUUUCCAUAUGGUAAGUGGUUGUCUCAACCACUUGGUUGUCCCAACUUUUCUGAAAAGUUCUUCCUUUCCCCACUGAUCUGUAAUACUGGCUCUUUUCAUAAAUCAAGUUUCUUCUGCGGGGGGGUCUGUUGAUGGUUUCGAUUCUGACUCACUGGUCAAUUUGUCUAACCUUGUGGCAAUACUAUACAAUCUUGAGUACUACAACUUUAGAAAAAGGUCUUGAUAUCUCAGGACAAAUACCACCUCCACCUUUAACAUCACCACCAAACUUUUCUUCGUUGGAGUGUCUUGGCUAUAUUCUUAGCCAACUGCUUUUGCAUACAACUUCUAGAAUUAGAUUGACAAGUUCCAAAUCAAACUAACAAAAGGUGGAAUUUUUAUUGGAUUUGUAUUGAAUUUAUAGAUUAAUUAUAAUAUUGAGUCUUCCGAUCCAUGAACAUGGUGUAAUUCUCCAUUUAUUUAGGCUUUCUAAAUGUCUUUCAAUAAAGUUUUAUAAUUCUCCAU
rnacentral:lncRNA from 1 species